CUGUUAGUAUAGUUGAAGGAUUUGGAAAAUUCCGCUAAAGAGGGUGAAAGCCCCGUAGACGAAAUGCUGACAACACCUAGGAGGAUCCUGAGUACGGCGGAACACGAGAAAUUCCGUCGGAAUCCGCGGGGACCAUCCCGCAAGGCUAAAUACUCCCUAGUGACCGAUAGUGAACCAGUACCGUGAGGGAAAGGUGAAAAGCACCCCGGAAGGGGAGUGAAAUAGAUCCUGAAACCGUGUGCCUACAACAAGUCAAAGCUCGUUAAUGAGUGAUGGCGUGCCUUUUGUAGAAUGAACCGGCGAGUUACGAUUGCAUGCGAGGUUAAGUCGAAGAGACGGAGCCGCAGCGAAAGCGAGUCUGAAUAGGGCGAAUGAGUAUGUAGUCGUAGACCCGAAACCAUGUGAUCUACCCAUGUCCAGGUUGAAGGUGCGGUAAAACGCACUGGAGGACCGAACCCACGUACGUUGAAAAGUGCGGGGAUGAGGUGUGGGUAGCGGAGAAAUUCCAAACGAACUUGGAGAUAGCUGGUUCUCUCCGAAAUAGCUUUAGGGCUAGCCUCGGAAUUGAGAAUGAUGGAGGUAGAGCACUGUUUGGACUAGGGGCCCAUCUCGGGUUACCGAAUUCAGAUAAACUCCGAAUGCCAUUCAUUUAUAUCCGGGAGUCAGACUGCGAGUGAUAAGAUCCGUAGUCGAAAGGGAAACAGCCCAGACCACCAGCUAAGGUCCCAAAAUAUAUGUUAAGUGGAAAAGGAUGUGGGGUUGCACAGACAACUAGGAUGUUGGCUUAGAAGCAGCCACCAUUUAAAGAGUGCGUAAUAGCUCACUAGUCGAGUGACCCUGCGCCGAAAAUGUACCGGGGCUAAACAUAUUACCGAAGCUGUGGACUACACCAUUAGGUGUAGUGGUAGGAGAGCGUUCUAAGGGCGUUGAAGGUCGAUCGUGAGGACGGCUGGAGCGCUUAGAAGUGAGAAUGCCGGUAUGAGUAGCGAAAGACAGGUGAGAAUCCUGUCCACCGUAUGACUAAGGUUUCCUGGGGAAGGCUCGUCCGCCC
rnacentral:rRNA from 1 species